rnacentral:rRNA from 1 species
GACGAACGCUGGCGGCGUGCCUAAUACAUGCAAGUCGAACGCAGUGGGGACGGGUGAGUAACACGUGGGUAACCUCCCAUCAGAGGGGAUAACACUUGGAAACAGGUGCUAAACCGAUACUGAUGGAUGGACCCGCGGUGCAUUAGCUAGUUGGUGAGGUAACGGCUCACCAAGGCCACGAUGCAUAGCCGGUCUGAGAGGGUGAUCGGCCGCACGGGGACGGAGACACGGCCCAGACUCGAACGGGAGACAUGAGUAGGGAAUCGUCGGCAAUGGACCAAAGUCUAACCGCGCAACGACGCGUGAGUGAAGAGGGUUUUCGGAUCGUAAAACUCUGUUGUGAGAGAAGCGGUAUCUAGCCAGAAGGCCACGGCUGACUACGUGCCAGCAGCCGCGGUAAUUC